CUGCUCUCCGAGGAACCUAGGCACCUCCAUCAGGUAAUUACUUGGGAGGAGUGAGGAAUGGCAAAGAAGGGGAGAAGACCAUGGGAAGAGGAACCUGGCCAUACCUCCAUUCCCCACAGUAAUGCUCUGAACAGGAUGCUGUGGAUUGCUUGUUCCUCUCAGCAUGGAGCAGUCCUGCUCCUGCUGCUCCCUGGCCGAGCCCAGUUGUCCAGCCAGCCUCAUGUCAUCCCUCCUUCCUGAGAAAAGAUCUUGCCUUUACCCCUGUAAUAAGUCUGGUUCUCUAUGCUUACAGGUUUUCGUGUUACGGAAAGCAAAAGAUAGUGUACUUUGACUGUUGGGAAAGGGAUGGAUACAAGUUAAUAAAAUUAAAGAGAAAACUGA